rnacentral:misc_RNA from 1 species
UAGAUGAUGUUCUCCAAUUGCUUUCUUUAUCUCCUCCUGGCGGCCCCAGCCUUAGAAUUGUUCCCUAUGGCAGCAUGCAUAUUUCAACCACCGCUACCGCAACAGCCACCGCCACAGCCACCUCCAGUUCCAGAACCACCAGUGUGUCCACAAGCAGGUCUCCUGAACGAGAAGCUUCAGAACUUAAGUACGACACUCAGUGCCCUUAACUCCGGGCUUGAUUGCGUCUUCAGCAUCAUCGACGAGCAGUGUCCAUGCUUUGAUGCUGGCUCCGCAGACUGCUUCGAAACACAAGUUUCCGACUUCAGAACUGCUUUGCAAGAGCUGAUUGCUGAUGUCGCAAAUGUCACAUCCAGCGUCCCACAAGACUGCCCGGACCGUACUGGUGCGGUCUUCGUGGCUACGUGUGAUGGAACUGAUGUUGCUGUGGUAGAUCCAAAUUGUUUCAUCCAAAACGGCUUCACAACAGACACUAAUGUAACCAGAUGGCCUGUAUAUACCAACGGUGAUACCUAUGGGUUUGACUACUUUAGAAACGACCCGUUUGUCGUUCGAUGUCUCUCCACGCCUGAUGGAACGGAAGUUAUAUUAGGCAGUGAUACUGAUUCUCCACUAACGACGACAGCAAGAGGAACUGGCAUUGCUUACAAUCCUGUCGGGGCGGUCGGGUAGCCUAGUGGUUAAAGCGUUCGCUCGUCACGCCGAAGACCCGGGUUCGAUUCCCGACAUGGGUACAAUGUGUGAAGCCCAUUUCUGGUGUCCCCCGCCGUGAUAUUGCUGGAAUAUUGCUAAAAGCGGCGUAAAACCAUACUCACUCACUCACUACAAUCCUGUCACAGAAGAAGAUUAUGUAGCCAUUUCUUUCGACAACGAGACCCUAAAUGGCAUCUAUGCCUUCAACAGGACCUCCUCUCCAAUAAUUACCUUGGUCUCCUCAUAUGACGGCCCUACUGGACAGAUACAGAUUGUUGGCAGUCUUGUGUACAUGGGUGAUGGUCAGAAGAUCGUGAUAAUACCAACUAUCGGUAACCCAGUGCAAGUGCUGAAGUUUUCAACAUCAAUUCUGUCGUUUCUAGUAACCAAUGAUGGUAGAAUAGUGUUUUGUGAUGACGCUGGCGCCAUUUGGAUAUACGACCCUUCAAACCGAACAUACAGGCAGCUGAGAGAGCCAAAUGAAGAAAAGUUCUGUCAUUCAAUGACAGGCAAUCCCUGCGAGUCCCUUCUCUACGUUGCAAACAGGAACUAUGCAGAUAUUGAGAUCUACAACAUUACAUCAUUUGAAUUAGAUAGAACACUAGACUACACCUUGUCGACUCCAUCUUCAUGUCCGUCCAUUGGGGUUGAUCCAACAUUCUGCUGUCCAUAAGCGGAAUCCGAUGACGUUUGAGCUGAUAUCGGAAGAAGCGUCAUCCAAACAUAAUGGAAUGUAAAAAAACAAAGCGGGGAGAGACAUGACUUUGUCAAUAAACCGUUUUUACACC